rnacentral:rRNA from 1 species
UACGUAGGGUGCAAGCGUUGUCCGGAAUUAUUGGGCGUAAAGAGCGUGUAGGCGGCCCCGUUAGUCCGCUGUGAAAGUCCAGGGCUCAACCCUGGAAUGCCGGUGGAUACUGUCGGGCUUGAGUACGGAAGAGGCGAGUGGAAUUCCUGGUGUAGCGGUGAAAUGCGCAGAUAUCAGGAGGAACACCAAUUGCGAAGGCAGCUCGCUGGGACGUUACUGACGCUGAGACGCGAAAGCGUGGGGAGCAAACAGG